UUUGUUGUUGAGGGGGUUUUGUCUGCUUUUUUUUUUCCUUCUUUUUUUCAACUUUCUCUAACCAGAGCAUGAAAGUAGGUCACUGCAGCACAGGAAGGGCCUUGUACAGCAGAAAACAACCACAAAGCCACUGGGGAUGGAGCUGCAUGAGGAAUGCAGAGUCAUGCUGUGGUUUCGAAGCUGCCUCUGCAUGAUGAGCAACACGGUUCAGCAGAUCCCAACUCUGGAGCCUGAAAUGUCGCCCAUGGAGGUGCUGAGUGGACGUUUCUGCAGCCAAGCUCCAGAUGCCUGGUAAG
rnacentral:lncRNA from 1 species